UUGGAGGGCAAGUCUGGUGCCAGCAGCCGCGGUAAUUCCAGCUCCAAUAGCGUAUAUUAAAGUUGUUGCAGUUAAAAAGCUCGUAGUUGAAUUUCGGGAUCAAUAUUUCGGUCAUGCCGUUGGUAUGCACUGUUAUCAUUGAUUUCUCACCUUCUAAAGAACCAUAAUGCCAUUAAUUUGGUGUUACGGGGAAUUAGGACUGUUACCUUGAAAAAAUUAGAGUGUUUAAAGCAGGCUCACGCUUGAAUACAUUAGCAUGGAAUAAUGAAAUAGGACAUCCGAUUCUAUUUUGUUGGUUUCUAGGAUCGAUGUAAUGAUUAAUAGGGAUAGUUGGGGGCAUUAGUAUUCAAUUGUCAGAGGUGAAAUUCUUGGAUUUAUUGAAGACUAACUACUGCGAAAGCAUUUGCCAAGGAUGUUUUCAUUAAUCAAGAACGAAAGUUAGGGGAUCGAAGACGAUCAGAUACCGUCGUAGUCUUAACCAUAAACUAUGCCGACUAGGGAUCGGAUGAUGUUAAUUUUUUAAUGACUCAUUCGGCGCCUUACGGGAAAC
rnacentral:rRNA from 2 species